GACGAACGCUGGCGGCGUGCCUAACACAUGCAAGUCGAGCGAAGCUUAAGCCUUCAGCUUGCUGUUGGUUUAAGACUUAGCGGCGAACGGGUGAGUAACGCGUGGGUGACCUACCCAGGAGACCGGGAUAACAGCUCGAAAGGGCUGCUAAUACCGGAUGACAUCCUGCUCUUUUGGGGGUAGGAUCAAAGCGUUAUGUAGCGCUUCUGGAUGGGCCCGCGUCCCAUUAGCUAGUUGGUGAGGUAACGGCUCACCAAGGCGACGAUGGGUAGCCGGUCUGAGAGGAUGGUCGGCCACACUGGGACUGAGAUACGGCCCAGACUCCUACGGGGGCAGCAAUUAGGAAUCUUGCGCAAUGGGCGAAAGCCUGAUCCAGCGACGCCGCGUGGAGGACGAAAGCCCUUCGGGGUGUAAAACGUCCUUUUCUCAGGGAAAAAGGAUGGAUGGUACCUGAGGAAUAAGCCCCGGCUAACUACGUG
rnacentral:rRNA from 1 species